rnacentral:rRNA from 1 species
GACGAACGCUGGCGGCGUGCCUAAUACAUGCAAGUCGAACGCAGUGGGGACGGGUGAGUAACACGUGGGUAACCUCCCAUCAGAGGGGAUAACACUUGGAAACAGGUGCUAAUCCGAUACUGAUGGAUGGACACGCGGUGCAUUAGCUAUUGGGUGUGGUAACGGCUAACCAAGGCCACGAUGCAUAGACGCACUGAGAGGGGGGUCGGUAACACUGGGACUGAGGCAAGGCCCAGACGCGUACGGGUGGAAGCAGUAGGGAAUCGUCGGGAAUGGACGAAAGUCUGACCGAGCAACGCCGCGUGAGUGAAGAAGGUGUUCGGAUCGUAAAACUCGGUUGUGAGAGAAGCGGUAUCUAACCAGAAAGCCACGGCUAACUACGUGCCAGCAGCCGCGGUAAUUC